rnacentral:rRNA from 1 species
AGCCCGGAGAUGGACACUGAGACAAGGGUCCAGGCCCUAAGGGGCGCAGCAACCGCGAAACCUCCACAAUGCGCUCACGUGCGAUGGGGCUAUCUCGAGUGCCACCUGAUGAAGGUGGCUUUUCCUUGGUCUUCAAAGCCUUGGGAAUAAGAGGGGGGCAAGACUGGUGUCAGCCGCCGCGGUAACACCAGCCCCUCGAGUGGUGGGGAUGAUUAUUUGGCCUAAAGCGUCCGUAGCCGGCCGAGCAAGUCUUCCGUUAAAUCCAGCGUCUCAAGCGUUGGACCGCGGGAGAUACUACACGGCUAGAGAGUGGGAGAGGUCAGCGGUAUUCUGGGGGUAGGGGCGAAAUCCUUUGAUCCCCGGAGGACCACCAGUGGCGAAGGCUGCUGACUAGAACACGUCUGACGGUCAGGGACGAAAGCUGGGGUAGCGAACCGGAUUAGAUACCCGGGUAGUCCCAGCCGUAAACGAUGCAUGCUAGGUGUUGGGUUGGCCACGAGCCACCCCAGUGCCGCAGGGAAGCCGUUAAGCAUGCCGCCUGGGAAGUACGAUCGCAAGAUUGAAACUUAAAGGAAUUGGCGGGGGAGCACAAUCG